rnacentral:lncRNA from 1 species
GGGAGAUGGGGCUAGUGGGAGGUGUUUGGGCCAUGGGGAUGGAUCCUUCCUGAAUGUUUUGGUACUGUUCUUGCAAUAAUGAGUUCUCACUGUGAUGAACCUGGAUAAUUUCCCACAGAAUGAAUUAGUUCCUGUUAAAUAGCCAGGAUGCUUCCGUAUUUUGUUUCUUCAGGUGUGUCUUCUUGCCCUUUGACCUUCAUCAUGCAUGCUAUGAGGCAGCACAAAAGCUCUCAUCAGAAGCCAGGGAUAUGCUCUCGAACUUCUCAGUCUGCAGAACUAGGGAGUUUCGCUCCAGCUGCCCGCAGGCCAGAGUGCAAUGGCAAGAUCUCGGACCACUGCAACCUCCACCUCCUGGGUUUAAGUGAUUCUCCUGCCCCAGCCUCCUGAAUAGAGGAAUAUGUGAUUUUUAUUUAAAAGUGCUGACAAUCUCUCAGGCUCAAGAGGCUAACAGGCCAUCACUCCUACCCUGUGCUUUUCCAAGGACAUGGACACAGGGGUGACCCCAACCCCUCCCAUUCCUCCAGCAACAAUGGGGUAUGUUGAUUUUGGGUCUCCUAAGGUUAGAGGCUCUCAUCACUUUGUCUAGAUCCAUUUACCAGUGACAACACCAAACAAUGCUUGUCUAUAGUGCCCUGUGAAUUGCCAUUAGCUUUGUGGGAAACUCUCAGAAUAGAGCACGAAAGGGUGGGAAGUUGAGCCCAGUGGCCAGGAGCUUGGACCUUCCAGCCAAGCUCAGGGAGAUUCACACUGGCUGGAUUUCCCUCACUGGAGGCUUGUUUGAAAAGACCUCCCAAGCCAGGGUGACACUGCGUGUAGCUCCUGUAAUUGAUCCUUGUGCUGGCCAAACACACCUACCUUGGGUGGUCAGCACAGUAGCUCUACUGUGUCCUGUCUUCCUUCCUCACUGUUUGGGAGGCUUAACCUUAGGCUUCCCUCGGAGCAUUAAAGGAACUAUAGGGUUUUAGAGCUUGGAAGGGGCUCCCAUAAGCCUGAUCUUGAGGCCAGUGAGCCUGCGAAAGGGAAGCAAGAGGUCUGUGGCUGCCACAGGGCUGUGACUGAAUCAAGCCAUCAUCCUAAGAGGAUUCCAAACAGUCAGAAAAACAGAG